rnacentral:rRNA from 1 species
GACGAACGCUGGCGGCGUGCUUAACACAUGCAAGUCGAACGGAAAGGCCCCCUUGUGGGGUACUCGAGUGGCGAACGGGUGAGUAACACGUGAGUAACCUACCCUUGACUUUGGGAUAACUUCAGGAAACUGGGGCUAAUACCGGAUAGGAGCUCCUGCUGCAUGGUGGGGGUUGGAAAGUUUCGGCGGUUGGGGAUGGACUCGCGGCUUAUCAGCUUGUUGGUGGGGUAGUGGCUCACCAAGGCUUUGACGGGUAGCCGGCCUGAGAGGGUGACCGGCCACAAUGGGACUGAGAGACGGCCCAGACUCCUACGGGAGGCAGCAGUGGGGAAUAUUGCACAAUGGGCGGACGCCUGAUGCAGCAACGCCGCGUGCGGGAUGACGGCCUUCGGGUUGUAAACCGCUUUCGCCUGUGACGAAGCGUGAGUGACGGUAAUGAGUAAAGAAGCACCGGCUAACUACGUG